rnacentral:lncRNA from 1 species
CUGCCAGUCUCUCCAGGCCUGCUGUGGCUUUUAGAAAACAGAGCAUGUCUAUUUUUAGCCCUUCUCAGCCUAAUAAUACUCCCCAACACCCAUUCAGCUUAAUCACUUUAUUGAGGACAAGAAGCGGGCUCUCUAGCCCGGGUGCUUCUGAUGUUAGGAAGUAGUAAAAUGUUCAAACUGGUUAAAAAUGACACUCAUUGGCUUGCCUUUGGUGUUUCUGAAACCUUAAUUGUGGCUCAGGCUGUGGAUCUAAAGAGCCUUGCAGGUUUCAGAGUCUGGCUUCCUUACCCCCUGCACCAUAAUUGAGGUGUUACAUUACAACUACGGCACUGACAUUUGCAGGCUCAAAAUUCAGCAGCCUUAAGAUGCCACACUUUUCAAAACAGAAAUAUUGCCUGCCACACUUAAUGCCUAUUCUAAGUACGAACCACCUCCCUGCCGGAAAAAAACAAACCAAAACAAAACAAAACUCGUCUUUUCUGGCUCCUCCCAUGCCAGAGGUCCAGGUGGGAAACUAUUUGCCAUAUUAAGCCCAUAGCUGCUUGAAAACAGAAAGGUUUGUUUGGUGUAAUUAGAAGACCUGCGAGUUUGGUGUGUGCAGGAAAUAGACUGUUGGCAGCUCUUCCACGUGCACCUUUGAGACCGUGACUUCCAAAGCUUCAGGGCCAAGGAGGCCCACAGCCAUCACAGGGAUUGGAGGACUCCCAAGUGCAAGAAACUGGGCUCUAAGUCUCUGCCAGGUGGCUAUGGGCGGAGGAGGAUGAGGAGGAAAGAGAUGCCUGCCUGGAUGGUUCUAGCUCACAGAAGUUCUUGCUUCCUCUUGUCCAGAAAGCCAAACCAUGCAUCCUGAGCCCUUCACUUCUUCAACAGAUAUUUCCUGAGAGCCUGCUAUGUGUCCCGCUGUGAGGAUGCAACAGAGCACACUACUGACAAGGUCCCCGCCUUCCAUCCUUGUCUUCUCAUCCAGAUUGCUGACUCCUGGGGCUGGAGGGAAGCAGGCAGCACCUCAGGCUGAUUUCGCGUGAUAGGGAAAUGAAGAGGAGAGGAGGACGACAGGGAGAGAAAGGAGGAAAAACUGCGAAGGAAGAACAAGCCGGAGCUCCGUCUGCCUUUCAGAAAUGACAUCUCUGCGGAAUUCAAUGCGGCCUAUUCUCAAGCAUCGGAGAAACUCUUUUCUUGCCUCCUCCUUCACCCCACCCCAACCAGAUUAGAAAAAAAAAAUUAAUGGUGUAUGAUGACAAACUUGGCUCAGCACUCACUGUACAUACUGUACCCACAAGUCUGGCUCGCAGCCAGGCCUGGCCUGGAGCCAGGACUACAAUAACAAACACAGGCAAUGCUCGCCAAGAGGGGGUGGGGCAGCACACAGAGCUAGCCAGGAAGUGAGAGCCGUUCGGCUCUGCUGAGCAGAAGAAAACAGCAGGAAUGUGCCAGUGCAAGGGCAGCAACAUUUAGGGGGGCAACCACAACCCCUACCCAGAUCCUGGACUCACUUCUCCACAGCCUGCGCCUUUUGAAAAAAAAUGCUCGCCUCCCCCCCGCCUCCCCCGCCCAGGGUUCUGGAGCAACUACUGUUCUUCCAGGCUGUGGGCUGCUUGAACCCUUGGUCAUCUGUAAAAUGGGUCUACUCUACAGACCUGGCACACCCAUUCUCACUGUCAGCUUUCUUCAUGGAACCUUCAAAAUAGAGCAGCAGGAAAACCUCACAUCAUCUAAUUCAAUGUCUCUUCUAAAACAUCACCUAGUUCUGUUUUCAGGCAUCAGAACAUGUAAACCACUACUGGAAUCUGUAAGAAGACCCAGCGCCACCAGCCCAGCCCUCUGACCCCAACUCCCCAACAAGUCCAGGUCACUCCAGAGGCCCCCAGGGCCUGUUUAACAGUGGCCAAACAAUUCAGGAAAUGGUCUAGCCUCACUAAGCCCUUUGUGCUAUUUUAUUUUCAAGACCUCUCAGCACGGAGGUGAGGAGUAUGCCGGACAACAGAAAGAAAAAAAAGAAUAGAAAUAUCAGAAUAUAGGCCGUGAGCUAUCUGCAAGGGUGAAUUAAAACACUACUAUGACUCAUCGCACCUGCCUAAUCAUCAAAUCAUCCUUUCCAAGGGCAUUGGCAAGUGACUAGCAGAGGGACAAAUCAUUUGACACAAUCAGCCUUCAGUGCCCAGUAAGACAGGCAUGGAAAGGAAAAACUAGGAAAAGAGGACCCAACUCCCAAAGCCUCUGGAGCAGCCAUAUGAGAUCAGGGGACCUGGAAGCAGCAUCUCAGGUGGAACCAAAGUCAGCUUCCCCAGGGAACCGCCAGCUCCGCAGGGCAGUUGCACAGUCACACUCUUGUCUGAACUGGGGACACCGGGCCCACCUGACAUGAGUAUGCAAGCAACCCUUUCUUUUCUGCAGCCGCUUCCACCAGCCCCACCAAUGCUGCUGAUGUGUGAUUCACAGCAGAGACACUGGCUAACUCACACUGGGUCACACCGCCUGGAAGAGGGAUACAAUACGAGCCAGGGGCUCCUGGCUGUCCCCUCCAGUGAGUCCUUAGGACAUAAACAGUUCCUACCACAGGAGGGACUUGUCCGGAGAGAGGAGUGUCCCUGUUCAUCGGCAUCCCAGGCUGCAUCAUUCACUCAACAAAUACUUCUUGGCACCAAUAAUGUGCCAGGCAGUGUGCUGGACAUAACGUGGACAGGAUCUAACCCCAUGACAUGUUAGCUAUGGUGGUAUGUAUUCAAGGUGAGCCUCACAGCUUCUCCGAGAUAGCGUUAAAUAUUUUCAUUUUACAGAUGAGGAUACUGAGGCUGUAAGAGCUUAUGGUUCUUGCCCCAGAUCACAUCAGCAGUAGGUACGUGUCCAAAUUCCUUCCACCAUGUAACCCCGCCUCCCAAGUAAGAGAGAUAAGUCCAUAAAUAACUGUAACACAGAAGAAAAACUGCACCCAAAGAUAGCUUCAAAUAAAGAAACAUGGGCACAGAAAAGGCACGACUGCUUCUGGCUGGAGGUGGGGAACAGCUGGGGAUGGCAUCAUGGAAGGGACCUUGGAAGAUCUGGGAAGAUGGGAGAUGGGUUAUUCCAAGUAGACAGAAUGGGGCAAACAAAGCCACAGAGCCCAGAAAGCAACAAGCCCAUAAAGCAAACCAAGAAAAUGAGUCUGGCUACAGCACUGGACUCAAGGAAAGAGCAAUAAGAAAGGACGCUUACUGCGGCUGAGAGGGCAAAGACGCUUUACCAACAGGCUAGAAGUGCACUGCCCCAGAAGUGCCCAGCACCACACAGGGGUCUAGGGCAGGACGCACCACACUCUGCAGUAAGGCAGUGGUGGGCUAAAGCAGAAAAAAUCAAGACCAAGAAAGCAAGGGAAGGGUAGCCAACCUGGUAGGCAGAUAGUUCAUGAAACCCGCCACACUCUGAACCUUAAGUAGCGUACAAAGCUGAAGGGAAGCAUGAAGAUACAAGGUGUAAGUCCCUAAAACAGAAGAAAAAGUGUACGUGAGUGUCAAGCAGAUCCGGACGCAGAAAUGCCUGGAAGUUAGGGCUCUGGGCUGAGGUGAGACACAUGGGCAGGAGGAGGAUGAUUCAGUGGAGCCAGGGGCAGGGUGGGGAGGGCCCACAGGAAGGAAGAACAGAAUGCACGAAGACAUGGGGACAGUAGACGCGCUGAGAGAGAUAGCUGCCAGCUGCCUGCUGUGGACAAAUCCGUGCGCCUGGAAGAGGGAAGAAUGGGAAGUGAGAAGGAGUUAGGACGCUUUAGGAAGGGCCAUGAGGGCCGGGGGAGAGACCACAUCCAACACAAUGCGGAACCACAUGGGCCCUGCAGCAAGGCAGUGGGGAGCUGAAGCAGAAAAAGCGAACGAAGAGCACUUCCACGACUGUACCCAUGAUGGGCUCAGGGGAAAGACAGUACUAAACGGCCAGGCAGGCAGGGAACGAGCGGAUGGGGACACGCCCCCCGGGGCAACAGGCUCAGAAACAAGGAUGAGGGAGGAAGGUGCAAGCAGAAACCAUUAACAUUUAUUAAAUGCCAACUGUAUGCCAGGGGCUUACUACAGAUGCCUUCAACGUAUAUUCUGUCACUUAAUCCUCCAAAAAAUUAUGUAAGUUAACAACACCAGCACUUGACAGAUGCAGAAACUGAGGUUCACAAGAUGAAUGUAGCUAAGGUCACACAGCACAUAUUACAAACAGGAUUUGAACCUUUCUCUGCCUGACCCCAAAGCCCAUUUCCCAAAUGCCAAACUGCCUGGAGGGCCAGUUUCUGGAGCCAAUAUGGGGAAAGGAGAGGCAGGCCUUGGCCUACAUGAGGAGAAGACAAGACCAAAUGAAACAACAGCCCUCUCCUCUCCCCUAAAAAAUGACUCCAAGGUUGGAAGGCAAGGGAAUUAAAGGGAAGAGACUAUGCACCUGGCAAAGAAGAGUUGAGGCCUCCACAACUAAAGUCAGGUGACCUAAGCCUCAAAGCCACCGCAUCAGACCUGCUAGAUCCUUCCCUCCACCAAGAACACUCGGGCCUGCCAAAUGUCAGGUGCUUC